rfam:Echinococcus multilocularis genomic scaffold, pathogen_EMT_contig_0166
GAGUGCGUGGCGCAACGGUAGCGCGUCUGACUCCAGAUCGGAGGGUUGCGUGUUCGAAUCACGUCGGGGUCA